rnacentral:rRNA from 1 species
GCGUUAAUCGGAAUUACUGGGCGUAAAGCGUGCGCAGGCGGUCUGUUAAGUCUGCUGUGAAAUCCCCGAGCUCAACUUGGGAAUUGCAGUGGAUACUGGCAGGCUGGAGUACGGUAGAGGAAGGUGGAAUUCCCGGUGUAGCAGUGAAAUGCGUAGAGAUCGGGAGGAACACCAGUGGCGAAGGCGGCCUUCUGGACCAGUACUGACGCUCAUGCACGAAAGCGUGGGGAGCAAACAGGAUUAGAUACCCUGGUAGUCCACGCCCUAAACGAUGCGAACUGGAUGUUGGGUACAUUACGGUACUCAGUGUCGAAGCUAACGCGUUAAGUUCCCCGCCUGGGGAGUACGGUCGCAAGACUGAAACUCA